CGGAGCAGCGCUGCACGGAGCAGAGGGUGUUGGGUUGCGAGCCCAAUCUUAGCACCCAGGUGACGGGGGUCAACGUACCUGAUCAGGGCUGUCGUAGACUGUUGACUAGUCCCCGUGUCCCGUAGGGACAUUCUGACCGUAACUCCGCGUGGCGGCGUUGUCAGAGAGGCGUGGCCUCGGGAUCCGCCGCUGGCGGAAGUCCCCCCGCUAGAUGUAGCAGGAAGCAGCGUCAAGUAGACGUGCUUGGUAUUUUAUUGAGCGGUGUUGCGCUGAAUAAAGUACGCAGCUUGUCAGAUGAGAAAUGGGGUCAGCCAGCGGUGCGCUGUGUAGCGGAGGACGCCCCGUUUACCAAAUGAGGAGAGAAGCUCCGCCGGCGGGGUUUCGCUCAGCGGAGACUCCG
rnacentral:lncRNA from 1 species